GACGAACGCUGGCGGCGUGCCUAAUACAUGCAAGUAGAACGCACAGUUUAUACCGUAGCUUGCUACACCAUAGACUGUGAGUUGCGAACGGGUGAGUAACGCGUAGGUAACCUGCCUGGUAGCGGGGGAUAACUAUUGGAAACGAUAGCUAAUACCGCAUAAUAUUGAUUAUUGCAUGAUAAUUGAUUGAAAGAUGCUAUUGCAUCACUACCAGAUGGACCUGCGUUGUACUAGCUAGUAGGGGAGGUAACGGCUCACCUAGGCGACGAUACAUAGCCGACCUGAGAGGGUGAUCGGCCACACUGGGACUGGGACACGGCCCAGACUCCUACGGGAGGCAGCAGUAGGGAAUCUUCGGCAAUGGACGAAAGUCUGAACGAGCAACGCCGCGUGAGUGAAGAAGGUUGUCGGAUCGUAAAGCUCUGUUGUAAGAGAAGAACGGGUGUGAGAGUGGAAAGUUCACACUGUGACGGUAUCUUACCAGAAAGGGACGGCUAACUACGUG
rnacentral:rRNA from 1 species